rnacentral:sRNA from 1 species
AUCUGCGACCAGACCAUUGAUUCCCGACUGAAGGGGUAUUCCCUCAGCGGAUACUACUCCCAUCCAUUUCAAGGCUAUGAACACAGACAGCUCAGAUACCAGCAGCCUGGGCCAGGAUCUUCCCCCAAUAGUUUCCUGCUUAAGCAAAUAGAGUUUCUCAAGGGGCAGCUCCCAGAAGCGCCGGUGAUUGGAAAGCAGACACCGUCACUGCCACCUUCCCUCCCAGGACUCCGGCCAAGGUUUCCAGUACUACUUGCCUCCAGUACCAGAGGCAGGAACUGAGUAUCAACCAAGAUCAGGAACAAAAGAUCUUAAAGUUCCUGGAAGAGCUUGGGGAAGGGAAGGCCACCACAGCACAUGAUCUGUCUGGGAAACUUGGGGCUCCAAAGAAAGAAAUCAAUCGAGUUUUAUACUCCCUGGCAAAGAAGGGCAAGCUACAGAAAGAGGCAGGAACACCCCCUUUGUGGAAAAUCUCGGUCUCCACUCAGGCUUGGAACCAGCACAGUGGAGUGGUAAGACCAGAUAGUCAUAGCCAAGGAGCCCCAAACUCAGACCCGAGUUUGGAACCGGAAGACAGAAACUCCACAUCUGUCUCAGAAGAUCUUCUUGAGCCUUUUAUUGCAGUCUCAGCUCAGGCUUGGAACCAGCACAGUGGAGUGGUAAGACCAGAUAGUCAUAGCCAAGGAUCCCCAAACUCAGACCCAGGUUUGGAACCUGAAGACAGCAACUCCAUAUCUGCCUUGGAAGAUCCUCUUGAGUUUUUAGACAUGGCUGAGAUCAAGGAGAAAAUCUGCGACUAUCUCUUCGAUGUGUCUGACUCCUCUGCCCUGAAUUUGGCUAAAAAUAUUGGCCUCACCAAGGCCCGAGAUAUAAAUGCCGUGCUAAUUGACAUGGAAAGGCAGGGGGAUGUCUAUAGACAAGGGACAACCCCUCCCAUAUGGCAUUUGACAGACAAGAAGCGAGAGAGGAUGCAAAUCAAGAGAAAUACGAACAGUGUUCCUGAAACCGCUCCAGCUGCAAUCCCUGAGACCAAAAGAAACGCAGAGUUCCUCACCUGUAAUAUACCCACAUCAAAUGCCUCAAAUAACAUGGUAACCACAGAAAAAGUGGAGAAUGGGCAGGAACCUGUCAUAAAGUUAGAAAACAGGCAAGAGGCCAGACCAGAACCAGUAAGACUGAAACCACCUGUUCAUAACAAUGGCCCCUCAAAAGCAGGGUAUGUUGACUUUGAAAAUGGCCAGUGGGCCACAGAUGACAUCCCAGAUGACUUGAAUAGCAUCCGCGCAGCACCAGGUGAGUUUCGAGCCAUCAUGGAGAUGCCCUCCUUCUACAGUCAUGGCUUGCCACGGUGUUCACCCUACAAGAAACUGACAGAGUGCCAGCUGAAGAACCCCAUCAGCGGGCUGUUAGAAUAUGCCCAGUUCGCUAGUCAAACCUGUGAGUUCAACAUGAUAGAGCAGAGUGGACCACCCCAUGAACCUCGGUAAGAGACCACCCAGGAACUGCACCUAGGGUUGGGGUCAGGUGCUCUUGCUCCUGAGGCAGUCUUGGCUGAUUUGUGAGCAGUGCUGUUUGGUGGCGCCUAUCUUUUCCUCCUUCCCUUCUGCCUUUUAGCUAAAUCCACCUUGAUUGGCCCUUUCUCCAGAUGUUGAGCAGGGAAUAUAGACCUUGGACCAGCCAGAACCUUGGCUGAACAAGGGGGAGGUUGACUCUGUUGGCUGUAAUGAAGCUUCUUUAGAAAUGAUUGGUUUUGGCCGUACACGGUAGCUCAUGCCUGUAAUCCAGCACUUUUUGAGGCCGACGCAGGCAUAUCACGAGGUCAGGAGUUUGAGACCAGCCUGGCCAAUGUGGUGAAACCCUGUCUCUACUAAAAAUACAAAAAUUAGCUGGGCGUGGUGGCGUGCGCCUGUAGUCCCAGCUACUCAGGAGGCUGAGACAGGAGAAUCACUUGAACCCAGGAGGCAGAGGUUGCAGUGGGCUGAGAUUGCGCCACUGCACUCCAGCCUGGGCCACAGAGCGAGACUCCAUCUCAAAAAAAAAAAAAAAGAAAUGAUUGGUCUUGGGGGCCGGGGCGGUGGCUUACGACUGUAAUCCCAGCACUUUGGGAGGCCGAGGCAGGCAGAUCAUGAGGUGAGGAGUUCGAGACCAGCUGGGCCAACAUGGUGAAACCCCAUCUCUACUAAAAAUACAAAAAUUAGCUGGGGGUGGUGGUGCUUGCCUGUAAUCCUAGCUACUCAGGAGGCUGAGGCAGGAGAAUCACUUGAACCCAGGAGGUGGAGGUUGUAGUGAGCCGAGAUGGCGCCACUGCACUCCAGCCUGGGCGACAGAGUGAGACUCCAUCUCG